GGAGACAUGGCAGAGUGGUUGAUUGCGCCGGAUUGCUAAUCCGAGGGCCCCUGGGCCGCGGAGGUUCGAAUCCUCCUGUCUCCGCCA
rnacentral:tRNA from 1 species